UUGUAAUUGGAAUGAUAGAAAUUUAAACCCUUUUUAAAGUAUCAAUUGGAGGGCAAGUCUGGUGCCAGCAGCCGCGGUAAUUCCAGCUCCAAUAGCGUAUAUUAAAAUUGUUGCAGUUAAAAAGCUCGUAGUUGAAGUUCUGCUGAAAGUAACCGGUCUGCUUUUAAUAAAAGUGGUAUCUUGGUAUGUAUUUAGCAAUGAUGUCCUUUGAAGUGUUUUUUACUUUAUUGUAAUAAAGCAUAUUCAGGACUUUUACUUUGAGAAAAUUAGAGUGUUUCUAGCAGGCUGACGCUUUGAAUACUGCAGCAUGGAAUAAUAAGAUAGGAUUUUAGUUCUACAUUAUUGGUUUUAAGAGCUAAAUUAAUGAUUGAUAGGGACAGUUGGGGGCAUUUGUAUUUAACUGUCAGAGGUGAAAUUCUUAGAUUUGUUAAAGACAAACUACUGCGAAAGCAUUUGCCAAAGAUGUUUUCAUUAAUCAAGAACGAAAGUUAGGGGAUCGAAGACGAUCAGAUACCGUCGUAGUCUUAACUAUAAACUAUGCCGA
rnacentral:rRNA from 1 species